rnacentral:rRNA from 1 species
CAGGGUGCGUAACGCGUAUGCAACCUACCUUAAUCUGGGGGAUAGCCCGGAGAAAUCCGGAUUAACACCGCAUAAAAACACAGGAUAGCAUUAUCCAAUGUUCAAAUAUUUAUAGGAUUGAGAUGGGCAUGCGUGUCAUUAGCUAGUUGGCGGGGUAACGGCCCACCAAGGCGACGAUGACUAGGGGAUCUGAGAGGAUGGCCCCCCACACUGGUACUGAGACACGGACCAGACUCCUACGGGAGGCAGCAGUAAGGAAUAUUGGUCAAUGGAGGCAACUCUGAACCAGCCAUGCCGCGUGCAGGAAGACUGCCCUAUGGGUUGUAAACUGCUUUUAUCCGGGAAUAAACCUGCUUACGUGUAAGUAGCUGAAUGUACCGGAAGAAUAAGGAUCGGCUAACUCCGUGCCAGCAGCCGCGGUAAUACGGAGGAUCCAAGCGUUAUCCGGAUUUAUUGGGUUUAAAGGGUGCGUAGGCGGCCUGUUAAGUCAGGGGUGAAAGACGGUAGCUCAACUAUCGCAGUGCCCUUGAUACUGAUGGGCUUGAAUGGACUAGAGGUAGGCGGAAUGAGACAAGUAGCGGUGAAAUGCAUAGAUAUGUCUCAGAACACCGAUUGCGAAGGCAGCUUACUAUGGUCUUAUUGACGCUGAGGCACGA